GAUGAAGAACGUAGCGAAAUGCGAUACGUAAUGUGAAUUGCAAAUUCAGUGAAUCAUCGAGUCUUUGAACGCACAUUGCGCCCCCUGGUAUUCCGGGGGGCAUGCCUGUCCGAGCGUCAUUGCUGCCCUCAAGCACGGCUUGUGUGUUGGGCCCCGUCCUCCGAUCCCGGGGGACGGGCCCGAAAGGCAGCGGCGGCACCGCGUCCGGUCCUCGAGCGUAUGGUGCUUUGUCACCCGCUCUGUAGGCCCGGCCGGCGCUUGCCGAUCAACCCAAAUUUUUUAUCCAGGUUGACCUCGGAUCAGGUAGGGAUACCCGCUGAACUUAAGCAUAUCAAUAAGCGGAGGA
rnacentral:misc_RNA from 1 species